UGAGCGCCAUGGGCGACCCGGAGCUCGAGCUGGCCGGUGCCCAGGACGACUUCCACAGCCAGUUCGCCGACGAGCUGGAGGUGCUGGCCGAGCUGGAAGGGACGGCGGCCCUGUCGCCCUCCAGGGACCCCUGGCCCACGGUGGGCCGGUCCCGCCUGCCGUUCGAGGAGGCCGCCGCUGGAGGGGGCGCCGCCACUCCCUGCUCUCCCGGGGGACCGCCAGAGAACCGCGGAGGCAGUGCGAGGAAGCGGCAGCUGGCCGGCCGCGUCGCGAGGGACAGGGCCUUGCCCUCCACCCCCAGGGUCAAACGGCUUAAGCUGGAAGUCGUCAAGAAGCUGAACUUCAGGCCCGAGGAAAUGGAGGAGCCGCCCCUUCCUGACUCCCCUGCGGGGGACAUCACCCCCCCACCGAGUCCCGAGGUCCCCACUGAACCGCGGAGCAAGGGGGCCUUGGACGCUGGUGUCGAUGCGGGUCUCCUGCAGGCCUCGCUGGCAGCCCGAAAUCCUGUCCUGAGGCGGCCCCCUGUCCUGGAGGACUAUGUCAGUGUGACCUCCACGGGGGGUAGCCGGGCUUUUCUGGUCCUGCGGGCUGAUCCAGUGGGCACAGGGGUGCAGACCCCUUUCCUUGAUAUCUGGCGGCGAGGCCAUGGCCAGCUGGAUCUGUUGGGCGUGCCCUUCACGGCUCUGAAGGAGCAGGUCGACAACGAGCGGAGGCAGCAGCUGCUCGAGGAGGCCCGUCGACUCUCAGACACGCUUCGCAGCCUCAGGUCGGAGGAGGUCCAGCCUUUGGCGGCUCCUGAGGAAGAGCUGGCCAGCAACCAAGCCGAGUCCCAGCACUGCCUCUGGGUGGACGAGUUUGCCCCUCGGUCCUACACGGAGCUGCUCAGUGACGACUUCACUAACCGCUGCCUCCUCAAGUGGUUAAAGCUGUGGGACCUGGUGGUGUUCGGACGAGAGAGGCCUGCCAGGAGGCCGAGGCCCGGCAUGGAGUUGGCCCGGGGUGGCAAAGAGGCCCCGAGCACCAGCAAAUGGAAGAGCCAUGAGCAGGUGCUGGAGGACAUGCUAGAGGCUGAGCUGGACCCAAGCCGGCGGCCCCGGCAGAAGGUGGCGCUGCUCUGUGGGCCCCCGGGGCUUGGCAAGACCACCCUGGCCCACGUGAUUGCACGGCAUGCUGGGUAUUGCGUGGUGGAGAUGAACGCCAGUGACGACCGCAGCCCCGAGGCCUUCCGCACGUGCAUUGAAGCGGCCACGCAGAUGGAGUCGGUGCUGGGUGCCGGCGGGAAGCCCAACUGCCUGGUCAUCGACGAGAUCGACGGGGCCCCCGUGGCUGCCGUCAAUGUUCUCCUGAACAUCCUGGACCGCAAAGGCCCGCAGGAUGCAGAGUCUGGGGGUCCGGUCCCCCCGAGUGGGGGACGGCGGCGCCGGGCUGAGGGGGGGGUCCUGAUGAGGCCGAUCAUCUGCAUCUGCAACGACCAGUUCGUGCCGGCCCUGCGGCAGCUGAGACAGCAGGCCUUCCUGCUGCACUUCCCGCCCGUCUUGUCCUCCAGGCUCGCGCAGCGGCUGCGGGAGAUCUCCCUGCGGCAGGGCAUGAGGGCCGACCCUGGCGCGCUGGCCGCUCUGUGUGAGAAGACCGACAACGACAUCCGUGCCUGCGUCAACACGCUGCAGUUCCUCCAUGGGCGGGGCCAGCGGGAGCUGAGCGUGCAUGCUGUGUGGACCACGCGGGUCGGCCUCAAGGACCAACGCAAGGGGCUGUUCUCCGUGUGGCAGGAGGUGUUCCAGCUGCCCCGGGUGCAGAGGCAACGCUGGGGCCAGGACCCGGCCCUGCCCCCACACAUGCUCCUGCUCAGUGAUGGGCACCUGGGUCUGGGGGCCCAAGCUGCUGGGGCACCUUCAACCUCGGCUUCCCAGCGGUUCUACCACAUCCUGCACGUGGCUGCUUCUGCAGGCGAGCACGAGAAGGUGGUCCAGGGCCUGUUUGAGAACUUCCUGCGCCUGCGGCUGCGGGAUUCCAGCCUGGGCACCGUGUGCGCAGCCCUCGACUGGCUGGCCUUCGACGACCUGCUGAGCCGCGCUGCGCACCACGGCCAGAGCUUCCAGCUGCUGCGCUACCUGCCCUUCCUGCCGGUGGCCUUCCACCUGCUCUUUGCGUCCAGCCACGUGCCGAGGAUCGCUUUCCCCAGCAGCCAGCAGGAGGCCCAGAACCGGACGAGCCGGACACAGAACCUCAUCCAGACGCUGGUGGCAGGCGUCGCACCGGCCACCCGUAGCCGAGCUGCGCCUCAGGCUCUCGUCCUGGAUGCCCUCUGUCUGAUUCUGGACAUCCUUGCACCCAAGUUGCGCCCUGUGAGCACGCAGCUGUACAGCACUCGUGAGAAGCAGCAGCUGGCCAGCCUCGUGGGCACCAUGCUUGCCUACAGCCUAACCUACCGCCAGGAGCGCCUGCCCGAUGGGCAAUAUGUCUACAGGCUAGAGCCGAACGUGGAGGAGGUGUGUCGCUUUCCUGAGCUGCCCGCCCGCAAACCUCUCACCUACCAGGCCAAGCAGCUCAUCGCCCGAGAGAUUGAAAUGGAGAAGAUGCGGCGGGCGGAGGCCUUGGCCCGGGUUGGGGACAGCCCCCCGGUAGACGGGGUUCCCCUAGGGGCCAAGGCUCUGCCGGGGGCUGUUGGGGACAAAGGGGGACGCGGCCGUGAGGAACAGCAGCUGCAGCGGCGGCUGGAGCGCAUCCUGGAGAGAGCCGCCCUGGAGGAGAAGCCCGAGAGGGACUUCUUUGGUCGUGUGGUCAUCAAGAGAGCGGCAACCCCGAGUGCAGGAGACGCGGCCCCGGAGACGGAUGCGGCAGAGCGGCGCAUAGGCACGGCGGUGGGCAGGAGUGAUGUCUGGUUUCGAUUCAAGGAGGGUGUCUCCAAUGCUGUGCGGCGCAGUGUCCACAUCAAGGACCUGCUGUAGCGGGGGCUGCCCCCGCCGCCAGGAACCCAGGCCGGGUACCUCCACCCGUGCUGGACGCCCCAGGGACCACGCUUCAUGCUGUCGGGUUGCGUUUUCUCCGUUAGGAAAUCCUGUCCACGGCCUGGUUUCUUGGAGAGCGAAGGGGCAGUGUUUCGGCAAGAGCAGGACCAGGCACACGGCACAGGGUUCCCAGAAGCCCACCCUCCAACUGCAAGGCCCACUUCCCACUCCCUGUUGCAGAGGGGCACCCCAGACCAUCAGGUGAGGGGUGGGGCCGCGCCUGGCCUCCCUGGGCCAUGGGCUGUCCCUCCGCUUUGCAUGGGGAAGCCUACCCAAGGGAAAUUAAUCUUGGGGCCUGGAGGAUUUGGCUGCAAUUUGCAUCUCUAGCCAAGGGGUUUGGGGGCGGAGUAGGUGCUCAGGGUUAUGGGGUCACUGGCUGCACAGCUGGUCUGGGACUUGGGAGUGCCUACAGCCUUCUGCUGCCCGGUGUUUGCCCCCCGCACUAGCAAACCGCCUGGCCCAGUUUCUGCCUGUGCACCAGCCUGGCAGAACAGGCUGCCUCCUGCCUCCCCCACUAAAGCCCGUUCCAGCCGCCCAGGGAGUCCCCCACCGGCCCCCAGGCCCUGCUCCCAUCACGGGAGGCUGAGAGCCAGGGGACGGGGUUUCUGGACCUUGGGAGGGUGGGCAGGGGGUGACAGGAGUUUGACCCUGUCUGCACCAGCCUGUGGAGGGGACUCCACGCUGGAAAAUCUCCAUCUUGGCAGGGGGUUCGGCCCUGCAAGUUGGGGACAGAGCAGCCACACUAGGAGUCCUGGAAGGGUCAGAGCCGCAGGAGAGCAUAACCUGCCUUUUGG